rnacentral:rRNA from 2 species
GGGUUGUGAGGUUAAGCGACUAAGCGUACACGGUGGAUGCCCUGGCAGUCAGAGGCGAUGAAGGACGUGCUAAUCUGCGAUAAGCGCCGGUAAGGUGAUAUGAACCGUUAUAACCGGCGAUUUCCGAAUGGGGAAACCCAGUGUGACUCGUCACACUAUCAUUAACUGAAUCCAUAGGUUAAUGAGGCGAACCGGGGGAACUGAAACAUCUAAGUACCCCGAGGAAAAGAAAUCAACCGAGAUUCCCCCAGUAGCGGCGAGCGAACGGGGAGGAGCCCAGAGCCUGAAUCAGCAUGUGUGUUAGUGGAAGCGUCUGGAAAGGCGCGCGAUACAGGGUGACAGCCCCGUACACAAAAGCGCAUGUGCUGUGAGCUCGAUGAGUAGGGCGGGACACGUGGUAUCCUGUCUGAAUAUGGGGGGACCAUCCUCCAAGGCUAAAUACUCCUGACUGACCGAUAGUGAACCAGUACCGUGAGGGAAAGGCGAAAAGAACCCCGGCGAGGGGAGUGAAAAAGAACCUGAAACCGUGUACGUACAAGCAGUGGGAGCACAGGUUUACCUGUGUGACUGCGUACCUUUUGUAUAAUGGGUCAGCGACUUAU